AACGAACGCUGGCGGCAGGCCUAAAACAUGCAAGUCGAACGAACCGCAAGGUUAGUGGCGCACGGGUGAGUAACACGUGGGAAUGUGCCUCUGGGUACGGAACAACGUCGGGAAACUGACGCUAAUACCGUAUAAUGUCUACGGACCAAAGAUUUAUCGCCCAGAGAUCAGCCCGCGUCUGAUUAGCUAGUUGGUGAGGUAACGGCUCACCAAGGCGACGAUCAGUAGCUGGUCUGAGAGGAUGAUCAGCCACACUGGAACUGAGACACGGUCCAGACUCCUACGGGAGGCAGCAGUUAGGAAUAUUGGACAAUGGGGGAAACCCUGAUCCAGCCAUGCCGCGUGUGUGAAGAAGGCCUUAGGGUUGUAAAGCACUUUCGGCUGUGAAGAUAAUGACAGUAGCAGAAGAAGAAGCUCCGGCUAAAUUCGUGCCAGCCGCCGCCGUAA
rnacentral:rRNA from 1 species